UACGGAGGAUCCAAGCGUUAUCCGGAUUUAUUGGGCUUAAAGGGUGCGUAGGCGGCCUAUUAAGUCAGGGGUGAAAGACGGUGGCUCAACCAUCGCAGUGCCUUUGAUACUGAUGGGCUUGAAUGAACCUGAGGUAGGCGGAAUGUGACAAGUAGCGGUGAAAUGCAUAGAUAUGUCACAGAACACCAAUUGCGAAGGCAGCUUACUAAAGUUUAAUUGACGCUGAGGCACGAAAGCGUGGGGAUCAAACAGG
rnacentral:rRNA from 1 species